rnacentral:rRNA from 1 species
UACGUAGGUGGCAAGCGUUGUCCGGAAUUAUUGGGAGUAAAGCGCGCGCAGGCGGCCUCUUAAGUCUGAUGUGAAAGCCCCCGGCUCAACAGGGGAGGUCCAUUGGAAACUGGGAGGCUUGAGUAUAGGAGAGAAGAGAGGAAUUCAACGUGUAGCGGUGAAAUGCGUAGAGAUGUGGAGGAACACCAGUGGCGAAGGCGACUCUUUGGCCUAUAACUGACGCUGAGGCGCGAAAGCGUGGGGAGCAUACAGG